GAGGGUACAGUUCAGUGGUAGAGCGCAUGCUUAGCAUGCUUGAGGUUCUGGGUUCAGUCCCCAAUACCUCCA
rnacentral:tRNA from 1 species